AACGAACGCUGGCGGCAUGCCUAAUACAUGCAAGUCGACCGAGUGGCGGACGGGCGAGUCAUGUCUGGGCACCUGACUGAUGGACGGGGAUAACUAGUGUAACCGGUAGCUAAUCCCGCAUACCAUCCGAUGUGCCCAGACGGGAUUAGCUAGUUGGUGGGGUAACGGCUCACCAAGGCGACGAUCCAUAGCUGGUCUGAGAGGUUGAACAGCCACACUGGAACUGAGACACGGUCCAGACUCCUACGGGAGGCAGCAGUAGGGAAUAUUGCGCAAUGGACGCAAGCCUGAUGCAGCCAUGCCGCGUGUAUGAAGAAGGCCUUCGGGUUGUAAAGUACUGUCGGCAGGGAGGCGUUACCCGCAGAGAAAGCACCGGCUAACUCCGUGCCAGCAGCCGCGGUAAUAC
rnacentral:rRNA from 1 species